rnacentral:rRNA from 1 species
AUUGAACGCUGGCGGCAGGCUUAACACAUGCAAGUCGAGCGGGGUGAUGGUGCUUGCACUAUCACUUAGCGGCGGACGGGUGAGUAAUGCUUAGGAAUCUGCCUAUUAGUGGGGGACAACAUCUCGAAAGGGAUGCUAAUACCGCAUACGUCCUACGGGAGAAAGCAGGGGAUCACUUGUGACCUUGCGCUAAUAGAUGAGCCUAAGUCGGAUUAGCUAGUUGGUGGGGUAAAGGCCUACCAAGGCGACGAUCUGUAGCGGGUCUGAGAGGAUGAUCCGCCACUCUGAGACUGAGACACGGCCCAGACUCCUACGGGAGGUAGCAGUGGGGAAUAUUGGACAAUGGGGGGAACCCUGAUCCAGCCAUGCCGCGUGUGUGAAGAAGGCCUUAUGGUUGUAAAGCACUUUAAGCGAGGAGGAGGCUCUUUUGGUUAAUACCCAAGAUGAGUGGACGUUACUCGCAGAAUAAGCACCGGCUAACUCUGUGCCAGCAGCCGCGGUAA